CCUACGGGAGGCAGCAGUGAGGAAUAUUGGUCAAUGGCCGGAAGGCUGAACCAGCCAUGCCGCGUGAAGGUCAGUGCCCUAUGGGUUGUAAACUUCUUUUAUAAAGGAAUAAAACGAGGCACGUGUGCCUUUUUGCAUGUACUUUAUGAAUAAGGAUCGGCUAACUCCGUGCCAGCAGCCGCGGUAAUACGGAGGAUCCGCGCGUUAUCCGGAUUUAUUGGGGUUAAAGGGAGCGUAGAUGGGUUGUUAAGUCAGUUGUGAAAGUUUGCGGCUCAACCGUAAAAUUGCAAUUGAUACUGGCAGUCUUGAGUACAGUUGAGGUAGGCGGAAUUCGUGGUGUAGCGGUGAAAUGCUUAGAUAUCACGAAGAACCCCGAUUGCGAAGGCAGCUUACUAAACUGUGACUGACAUUGAUGCGCGAAAGUGUGGGUAUCAAACAGGAUUAGAUACCCGAGUAGUC
rnacentral:rRNA from 1 species